rnacentral:rRNA from 1 species
GCGGAGGAAAAGAAACCAACAGGGAUUGCCUUAGUAGCGGCGAGUGAAGCGGCAAAAGCUCAAAUUUGAAAUCUGGCACUUUCAGUGUCCGAGUUGUAAUUUGAAGAAGGUAUCUUUGGGUCUGGCUCUUGUCUAUGUUUCUUGGAACAGAACGUCACAGAGGGUGAGAAUCCCGUGCGAUGAGAUGUCCCAGACCUAUGUAAAGUUCCUUCGAAGAGUCGAGUUGUUUGGGAAUGCAGCUCUAAGUGGGUGGUAAAUUCCAUCUAAAGCUAAAUAUUGGCGAGAGACCGAUAGCGAACAAGUACAGUGAUGGAAAGAUGAAAAGAACUUUGAAAAGAGAGUGAAAAAGUACGUGAAAUUGUUGAAAGGGAAGGGCUUGAGAUCAGACUUGGUAUUUUGUAUGUUACUCUCUCGGGGGUGGCCUCUACAGUUUACCGGGCCAGCAUCAGUUUGAGCGGUAGGAUAAGUGCAAAGAAAUGUGGCACUGCUUCGGUAGUGUGUUAUAGUCUUUGUCGAUACUGCCAGCUUAGACUGAGGACUGCGGCUUCGGCCUAGGAUGUCGACAUAAUGAUCUUAAGUCGCCCGUCUUGA